rnacentral:tRNA from 1 species
GGAGGGAACAGCUCAGCGGUAGAGCACAUGCUUAGCACGCACGAGGUCCUGGGUUCAGACCCCAGCACCUCCA